rnacentral:rRNA from 1 species
GUAGGGAAUAUUGCACAAUGGGGGAAACCCUGAUGCAGCGACGCCGCGUGAAGGAAGAAGUAUCUCGGUAUGUAAACUUCUAUCAGCAGGGAAGACAAUGACGGUACCUGACUAAGAAGCCCCGGCUAACUACGUGCCAGCAGCCGCGGUAAUACGUAGGGGGCAAGCGUUAUCCGGAUUUACUGGGUGUAAAGGGAGCGUAGACGGACGGGCAAGUCUGAAGUGAAAGGCAGGGGCUCAACCCCUGGACUGCUUUGGAAACUGUCCAUCUAGAGUGCCGGAGAGGUAAGCGGAAUUCCUAGUGUAGCGGUGAAAUGCGUAGAUAUUAGGAGGAACACCAGUGGCGAAGGCGGCUUACUGGACGGUAACUGACGUUGAGGCUCGAAAGCGUGGGGAGCAAACAGG